rnacentral:tRNA from 1 species
GGCCUCGUAGCUCAGCUGGUAGAGCAUGCGCGUACAAAGCGUAGGCGGUGUCCAUGCGUGGGUUCGAAUCCCACUGAGGCUA